CGCACGGGCGAGUAACGCGUAUGCGACCUGCCCGUUGCAGGGGGAUAAUCGGGAGAAAUCCCGUCUAAUACCGCGUAACGCCGCGGGGCUGCAUGGCCCUGCGGCCAAAGGGAGCGAUUCCGGCAACGGAUGGGCAUGCGUGACAUUAGCUAGUUGGCGGGGCAACGGCCCACCAAGGCGACGAUGUCUAGGGGUUCUGAGAGGAAGGUCCCCCACACUGGUACUGAGACACGGACCAGACUCCUACGGAAGGCAGCAG
rnacentral:rRNA from 1 species